rnacentral:rRNA from 1 species
AACGAACGCUGGCGGCAUGCCUAACACAUGCAAGUCGAACGAGACCUUCGGGUCUAGUUGCGCACGUGUGCGUAACGCGUGGGAACCUGCCUUUAGGUUCGGAAUAACUCAGAUAAAUUUGAGCUAAUACCGGUUGAUGUCUUCGGACCAAAGAUUUAUCGCCUUUAGAUGGGCCCGCGUUGGAUUCGCUGGUUGGUGGGGUAAAGGCCUACCAAGGAGACGAUCCAUAGCUGGUCUGAGAGGAUGACCAGCCGCGCUGGGACUGAGACACGGCCCAGACUCCUACGGGAGGCAGCAGUGGGGAAUAUUGGACAAUGGGCGAAAGCGUGAUCCAGCAAUGCCGCGUGAGUGAUGAAGGCCUUAGGGUUGUAAAGCUCUUUUACCCGAGAUGAUAAUGACAGUAUCGGGAGAAUAAGCUCCGGCUAACUCCGUG